AAGAUGACAUCAUCCUCUUGGAAGACUUCAUGCUGAAACUGGAGGAGAACGGUGUUCAGGAAGUUGACGUCUCGGUUCUGGAACAUGGCAGUCAGAUGGGAACUCCUCCAGCAUCGGGACAAAGUACUGGAUACAGCCGUUCCAGUGGCACAGCAGAAACAUCAUCAUAAACAAAGACAGUAUGCGGAAGAACAGCUGAACAUACUCCAAGUUGGCAUUUGAAACCUAUGGAGAAAGAAACAAAUGCACUCAAUUAAAAGAUGGAAAUAAAAAUGAACUAAUUGGACUGCAAAGAUAAUCUAGAAGUAAUGUGUACACCAAUCAAAAGUUAUUCUCCUGUCCUUCUUUGUAUUCAUUUUUAGCCAAAUGGAAUUUGUAGUACAAGUUUGACUUUGUGGUAUUUUCAGCAUUGGGAGAUGGUAGCAUACCAGAACUUACCUUUUCAACUUCAUUGAAGAAGCGGACAAGCCUGGAGACUCUGAGGAGCCUGACAAGGCUGAUGAUUCGGACAAACAUGAGGAUCCGCACCAUUCUACUGGCUUUGGAACCUGAGGUGGAAGUGUCACUGUGGGAUUGUAACUCCUGUCACAAUAAAAUACAGAAAUAAAAAAAUAUUUUAAAAAUG